rnacentral:rRNA from 1 species
AGUGAACGCUGGCGGUAGGCCUAACACAUGCAAGUCGAACGGCAGCACAGUAAGAGCUUGCUCUUACGGGUGGCGAGUGGCGGACGGGUGAGGAAUACAUCGGAAUCUACUUUUUCGUGGGGGAUAACGUAGGGAAACUUACGCUAAUACCGCAUACGACCUACGGGUGAAGGCAGGGGAUCUUCGGACCUUGCGCGAUUGAAUGAGCCGAUGUCGGAUUAGCUAGUUGGCGGGGUAAAGGCCCACCAAGGCGACGAUCCGUAGCUGGUCUGAGAGGAUGAUCAGCCACACUGGAACUGAGACACCGUCCAGAGUCCUAAGGGAGGGAGCAGUGGGGAAUAUUGGACAAUGGGCGCAAGCCUGAUCCAGCCAUACCGAGUGGGUGAAGAAGGCCUUCGGGUUGUAAAGCCGUUUUGUUGGGAAAGAAAAGCAGCAGGUUAAUACCCCGCUGUUCUGACGGUAACCAAAGAAUAAGCACCGGCUAACUUCGUG